rnacentral:misc_RNA from 1 species
UGGCAAGAAAGGCAUUAACUACAUCA